UUCACCUCUUGCCUUUGCUGUCUGCCCUGCUUGCUGGAAGCUGGGCUGAGCUGGGGACCUGUUGCCUGUGCUUCCCACAGCUGCUGGUGUCACCUCACGCGGGUGGCACUGGUGACAGAGGGGCAAGAGGGGACACUGAAGGUGAUGGAGAGUUCCCAUCCGAGAGCUCAGCUCCUGCCAAAAGUCCCCGGGGGACCCAGCAUCAAAGCGUGGUCGUCAUCAGGGGAAAAUGCAACGUGACUUGUUCCUCCUGCUGCUCCCGGUCAGGUUUCUCCCUCCUAUUACAGGUUUGCAGCAAACAGGAGGUGAGUCAGGGCUUGUGGGGCGGGAGGCGACGAUGGAGCUGGGGAGGGAGCAGCUGCUCAGUGAAAGGUGAGCUGGUGCUAGGCAGGUGAAUCAUUCCGUGGGGAAAAUCGAUCAUAAUCCUCACAAGCAGCGCUGGCAGUGAGGCACAGCUUGGCUCGUUCAGUAAAUUGCAGAGCAAAGAGAAAAACAAGGCAAGGCUUUUUUAUUUUUUUCUUUUCUGAGGCAAUAAAUUGUGAGGGAGCAGCCUGCGAAGCUGCAGCAGCCGCGUUCCCUGGGCUCCUUAAAAGGGAGAUUUUAGUCCGGGACAGAAGGGAGACAGCAAAGCCGUAAACACCCUUGCAGGAAUGUGGCUGCUGAGAAAUGAGGCUCCCGCAGCAGUGGGGGGAGCAGAGCCGUGCCGGGUGCCUUGGCCAUUCCCACAUCUGGUGGUCCCCAGGGAGCUCUGACCCAGUGCUGUGUCCCUGCAUGCCCAGGAUCUACAGACUGCCUCUCAGGGAUACUUGUUGCUGACGUAGCCCUGCACUUUUCUCCCACACCAGCAUGUGUUGCAUUUCCACUGAAGCCAGCUGGCAGGGACGGCUGCACGGACGCUCGGGUCGGAGCCACUGACUUUGGAUGGGCUGCCAGAGCUGGGUGAAGGCAUGGCUCACCACGAGCCCUGCAGCACUGGACCUGUCACGCUGAUGUCACCACGCAGCCUCAGCCCCAGGGAGCCAGGAGACACUUGGCACAGGGCUGGGGGCAGCGUGGGACUGGGACAGAUGCUGGUGUCCAGAAGGACCGCAGAGGAAGAGCCAUCCCACCACACAGGGCUGGAGACCCAAGGGACAAGCCCUGCCCGCUGUGCACCAUGGAGCAGAAAAGCCGCCUCUGGAAAGCACUGAAGUCACUGGCGCUGCUUCGGCUGCUGAGGAGCACAAACCGCAGGGUGCAUCGGCUGCA
ensembl:lncRNA